GUAGGGAGCAAGCGUUGUUCGGAUUUACUGGGCGUAAAGGGCGCGUAGGCGGCAGAUUAAGUCAGCUGUGAAAUCUCCGAGCUUAACUCGGAACUGUCAGCUGAUACUGUUUUGCUAGAGUGCGGAAGGGGCAAUCGGAAUUCUUGGUGUAGCGGUGAAAUGCGUAGAUAUCAAGAGGAACACCUGAGGUGAAGACGGGUUGCUGGGCCGACACUGACGCUGAGUGCGCGAAAGCCAGGGGAGCAAACGGGAUUAGAUACCCCGGUAGUCCUGGCCUUAAACGAUGAAUACUUGGUGUCUGGAGUCUCUAUAGCUCCGGGUGCCGUCGCUAACGUUUUUAGUAUUCCGCCUGGGGAGUACGCACGCAAGUGUG
rnacentral:rRNA from 1 species